AGAAUCAACGCUGGCGGCGUGCCUAACACAUGCAAGUCGAACGAGAAAAUGGUAGCAAUACCAUGAGUAAAGUGGCGCACGGGUGAGUAACACGUGACUAACCUACCCUUGAGUGGGGGAUAACUGAGGGAAACCUUAGCUAAUACCGCAUAAUACCCACGGGUCAAAGGAGCAAUUCGCUCGAGGAGGGGGUCGCGGCCGAUUAGUUAGUUGGCGGGGUAAUGGCCCACCAAGACGAUGAUCGGUAUCCGGCCUGAGAGGGCGCACGGACACACUGGAACUGAAACACGGUCCAGACUCCUACGGGAGGCAGCAGUGGGAAUUUGCGCAAUGGGGGAAACCCUGACGCAGCAACGCCGCGUGGAGGAUGAAGUCCUUCGGGACGUAAACUCCUUCGAUCGGGACGAUUAUGACGGUACCGGAAGAGAAGCCCCGGCUAACUUCGUGCCAGCAGCCGC
rnacentral:rRNA from 1 species